AUUGAACGCUGGCGGAAUGCUUUACACAUGCAAGUCGAGCGGCAGCGCGGCCUUCGGGCUGGCGGCGAGCGGCGAACGGGUGAGUAAUGCAUCGGAACAUGCCCAGUCGUGGGGGAUAACACUUCGAAAGAAGUGCUAAUACCGCAUACGUCCUGAGGGGGAAAGCGGGGGAUCGCAAGACCCCGCGCGAUUGGAGUGGCCGAUGUCAGAUUAGCUAGUUGGUGGGGUAAAGGCCUACCAAGGCGACGAUCUGUAGCUGGUCUGAGAGGAUGAUCAGCCACACUGGGACUGAGACACGGCCCAGACUCCUACGGGAGGCAGCAGUGGGGAAUUUUGGACAAUGGGGGCAACCCUGAUCCAGCCAUGCCGCGUGAGUGAAGAAGGCCUUCGGGUUGUAAAGCUCUUUCGGCAGGAACGAAACGGUGGGCUCUAACAUAGUCCGCUAAUGACGGUACCUGAAGAAGAAGCACCGGCUAACUACGUG
rnacentral:rRNA from 1 species